rnacentral:rRNA from 1 species
CACGUAGGGGGCAAGCGUUGUCCGGAUUUAUUGGGCGUAAAGAGCUCGUAGGCUGUUCGAUAAGUCGGGUGUGAAACCUCCAGGCUCAACCUGGAGACGCCACCCGAUACUGUCAUGACUAGAGUCCGGUAGGGGAGCGUGGAAUUCCUGGUGUAGCGGUGAAAUGCGCAGAUAUCAGGAGGAACACCAGCGGCGAAGGCGGCGCUCUGGGCCGGUACUGACGCUGAGGAGCGAAAGCGUGGGUAGCGAACAGG